GCUCGGUUCGUCUAGUGGACUAGGACACCGCCCUUUCACGGCGGGUACGCGGGUUCGAAUCCCGCACCGAGCGCCA
rnacentral:tRNA from 1 species